AUCCUUCUGCAGCUCCUCACCGUGGUGAUUGCAUGUUAUGGGCACGUGUGAGAUGUGCCUUCUCCAACUGUUCUUAACACAUCAGCACCUUUCCCAUCUAACA